ACCAUUAUACUCUUAGGGAUCAUUUCUGUAGUUUUUGACUUAAGAAAUGGGUUCUAAAGUAUCCCGUCUCACCAACCAUGAGGACAAUUUAUGGUGCCUUCUUCUGAGCAUGAAGUUGGUUAAAAGAGUUGCUUUGUUUGCAAGUGAUUUUAGCCAUUGAUAAUCAUUCCCUUCUUUAGCGAAGUAGAGGAAGAAAACGCAUUCUGAGUGGU